GCCUACGGGGCGCAGCAGUAGGGAAUCUUCCACAAUGGGCGAAAGCCUGAUGGAGCAAUGCCGCGUGGGUGAAGAAGGUCUUCGGAUCGUAAAACCCUGUUGUUAGAGAAGAAAGUGCGUGAGAGUAACUGUUCACGUUUCGACGGUAUCUAACCAGAAAGCCACGGCUAACUACGUGCCAGCAGCCGCGGUAAUACGUAGGUGGCAAGCGUUAUCCGGAUUUAUUGGGCGUAAAGAGAACGCAGGCGGUCUUUUAAGUCUGAUGUGAAAGCCUUCGGCUUAACCGGAGUAGUGCAUUGGAAACU
rnacentral:rRNA from 1 species